rnacentral:misc_RNA from 1 species
GUUUUUAGUUGUACAUUAUGCACAAUAGACAUUCCAUUACAUUCAGAGUGUGUAAAAGUUACUCGAAUACCAGGCCCGAUAAGGGGCCACGCAAAGCGGUACUCAGAGUCAUAAGAUGCACAGGUGUGUGGAUUUGCGACUCGUCGAACGUGCACAUGUGGGUCUCCCCACCAGCACAGAACAGACAAGCCGACUUUUGAAGUUUCAUUAAUGAUCCUUCCGCAGGUUCACCUACGGAAA